rnacentral:lncRNA from 1 species
UAGUCUCGAUCACCCAGACGCAUUAUGAAUAUAGCGUCUGGAUUUUUGUGUCUUUGGAUUUCGUUCAUAGAUGGCGUUUUAAAAUUUGGUAAUGACCUUGACCACAUGUUCCCGGAAGGUAAAAACUUCAGGAAUAUGGACGAUAACAUGCGGCAGUGGUUGACCAGAAUGUGAGUUUCAGUGUAAAAUUAAACGUUUAAACAGCAUGGAAACUAGACAAUUAACUUAUCAAGGUUCAUGUUUACGAAUGUCUCUUUUAAAUUUAUAGGAUAGGGGAAAGGUAGUUUUUUUACACAUAACUCGGAAAGGGUGGGGGGGGGUUGCAAACUACAUGCAAUCCUUGGUUGUUAUUACAACCUACUGUUUUUGUACACCUUUAUCUACAAAAACAGUAGGUUGUAACAACCAAGGAUUAGUUUGCAAAAUUGCAAAAUCCUUGUAACAACUAGUAUCAUAAAAUAAAAUGUUUCGGACAGUUUGUGUUGGGUAUGUAGUUUUAAAUAUUUUACCCCAUGCAUCGAUCACUGAAAUCUUAGACUACUAUAACACAGUAGUCUCAGCUGAAAUCUCAAUAUAAAAAAAAACAAAACUACCACACAUGUCAUUUGACUCUUGAGUCUUGAGGUAUACUGCAAAUCACAAGGAUACUUAAUAAAGGAUAUUUAAUAUGACUAAUCUGCAGUAAGCACCAAGAAUUGAUGCUUAAAGGUAAGUCCCUUCUUGUUCUUAAUGCAGAUGAGUCAAACUCCUAAAUUAAUUAAAAUAUAUUAAAAGCAUCUAUAAUACUAAAAUUACGAGGUCCAAUUUGUCAGCCGUCAUCGGUAAAAACGACAAAUCAAAGAAUUCAACUCUAUAUAUAACUAAUAUAGGACAAUGGUGUAGAUUAAAAAUUACACCACUCCAGACCCUUUUGUUUUCCACAUAAUUAAUAUUGCCAAUAAUUAACAAGUUCCUGGUCUAAUCCGAUACCGAUACCAAUAGUAUAUUCACCUGUUAGCUAUUACCUUAUCUGUACGUUCCGCAUUUGACAGGCGCACCACCAAACGGUGUAUUUAGGAUUUGCUAUAUACACGGGUCAUAAUCAAAGGGCUGACACUACUAAAUUCAAUCAUUGUCAAAUUGUUCCCUAUUGUAGCUUUAUUCAGCAAUCAGCAAGACUUUCUAAGAUAACUAAUAUAGGACAAUGCUGUUGAUUAAAAAAUACCCCAUUCCUGGAUAGCCUGGACCUUUUGUUUUCCAAAUAAUUAAUAUUUCAAAUAAUUGAUAAGUUGCAGGUCGACGGGUUAAAACAGAAAGAUUUGAAAGCAAAGAAAACUGUGUAUCUUAUAAUCGACAUGACUUUAUCAGAUGACAAUACCAAUUACUAAAAUAAGGCUUAGGCAUAGUUAUAUACUUUAAUUCAGUCACGGACCCUCGAUAUCACGGGUGUGUACUUCUAUUUUUUAAGAUUAUAGAUUCUGUGUCCAGCCAGCAAAGAUCAUCAAGGGACGGUGCAAGAAAAUAUGAAAUUCUUCUUACAAUAAGACAAUUUAUCCUCAUGCUAUAUAUAUAGAUUAUGCCAUUUAGAAUGCACUUACUGAAACUAACAAUUAAACAAAUACAGGAUUACUGUUGUAACAAUUGUUGAUAGCCAUAAAAGGCUGAUUAGUAUUGAGAAUGAAAUAAAAAAUAUGACCAACAGAAUAGAGUAUAUUAUAACCAGUGGUUUCGUUAGCCCAAAAUAGAAGGGGGCCGCGCCCUGGGUGCCCUAAGCAGCGCCAUGUGUGCCCUUAGCCGCUCCCUUCUGCCCUGACGCCGUUUUCUGAAAAAAAAACCUUGUGCCGUUUUGGUAAAAUUGCCUUUUGUUUCGUCGAUUUCUUAUUAGAAGUUAAAUUACAUAUAUGACACCUGGUGAUUGCCCCCAGGUAACGAGGUUAAUCAUGUCAUUACAAUCAAUUAUUGUGGAUUAGACUUCAAAGGUGUUAAUUACUAGGUAAUUUAAUUAAGACAAUGUACCUUUUUGUCAUAAAUAUAGUCACAAUGGAAGAGUGUAUGAAUGAAGACUUUCAUGAAUUUAGAAUUGAAUUGAAGUAAUCAACUUUGCCUUCACAGAAACAUCGUCCAUCUCAACUUGUGAGCGACAUGUCACAAGCAGACGUAAACAUUUUGGAAAUUAAUUUUGGCGGGGACGUAGACAAAAGAAAUGAGCAGUGCCUUCUAUCAUAAAAACGCCCUGCCCUUCACUGGCACCCUGCCCCUUUUGAAUUCUAGCUAGAGCACUGAUAACUAUCUAUAAUCUAUGUACAUUGUAAUCUAUGUAUAAAGUAUCUGCAUUGAGUUGCAUCUGAAAUAGUAAAAUACUGACAUAUUAUAUCUUUUCCAGGUCAAUUAUCUGUAUUGAAUGGCUGGAGAAUACAAACCUAGUACAAAUGUAUAUAGAGGAAUGAAGAGGCCUCACAAUUAUAACUGACUGUCAUUGGGUAAUUUUAUUAUUAAUAAAAAAUUGAGAAUGGAAAUGGGGAAUGUGUCAAAGAGACAACAACCUGACAAAAGAGCAGAAAACAGCCAAAGACCACCAAUAGCUCUACAACACACUGAGAAAAUCACUGCACACAAAGGCAUGCUUCAGCUGCCACCUAAACAAAAAUGUGUACUACUCCUGGUAACAUGGGGUCAAGGUGAUAAUGAAUGUUCUACUACAUGUAUACUACGAAAUAUAUAAAUGAACUAAAAUUAAAAAUCAUACAAGACUAACAAAGGCAAGAGGCUCCUGACUUGGGACAUACGCAAAAAUGUGUAGGGGUUAAACAUGUUUUGCAAGAUCUCAACCUAUCCAGCUAGCCAUUGUAGAAAAACAAAAACAAUAGGCACAGUAAAUCUCAGUUUAAAGAAGUCAUAUUUAGUCCUAUGUCAGAAUAGGAAACAAAACAAACUAAGCAAAAUUACGAUACAUAAAUUAACAAAGGACUACUAGCAGUUACUGACAUGUUCCUCAGACAUAUGUGAACUUAACUAAAUGUCAUACACAAUAUAUGUUUUAUCACUUUUUUACUUCUUUUUUUUUAGCAUAUGAAAUAUAUCUUGAAUAUAUUGUAACAAUGUUUUUUUUAAGAAUAUUUUUUUUGUACCCUAAUACCGGUACGACAUGAAUUACAUGUACCAAUAAGAAAAAUAAUUUCUUUGGUUUUAUUCCAAUACAGAUGCAUGAAGUCAGACUAAAUGUUUUUGAACCUUGCAUAUCUACUUGAACUUGUUUCUUAGUUUGCAAAAUUACUUUAUUCAGUAAAAUUUCUAAACAAAUGUAUAGUUUUGUAGUCAUUGGUCUCAUACAAAUUGCAUUUUAUUAAACUUGGGUAAAUUAUAUUUCAGCAAAAGGCUUUGCCAUCAAAUACAUGUAUUUCAUCUCCGAAGAAUAAGAACAACAGUCCUGAUGAUGGUGACAGGUCAAAUUAAUCUAACAGGUAACACAUUCAUGACAUAUUGUUUUCAGGCUUUUCCAUUUAAACAUGCAUGCAUGCAUAUUGGGACCAGGGAAGACACUUAGAGAUCCAAAGUUACAAUGUGUAGUGGGGUUAAUUCCAUUGAAAAUGUUAGUGAAAUUCUCAGUUGGCUUCUAUCAGUUGAUUAUUGAUUGACUUUAUUAACUUAAUAUUUCUGUAACAAUUGUACAUGUAAUAACAAUUAGCCACUUCAUGAUAUCCAUUACCAAAAAUGUUGUAUAGUCUGAUUAUAACCACAGAAUUUACUUUGCUUUUCAGAUACUAGUGAAGAAAUAAAGAAACAAGAGUAGACACCAUUUGACCAACUGUGCUUACAAUACUUGUGCAAUAGUUGUAAUUGAUGUCCAUACUACAUUGUAGUGUCAUACAUGUAUGAUAAUACAUUACUGCAUCCACAGAAUUAUCAUCUUGGUCGACAAUGCCUCUCAUUUCUUAAUAAAUUGCAUUUGUUAUUUUGGUUGUAUGAUUUUCUAAAAAGACUUGUUUGUUAUUAAUGGAGUAGAAUGUUGAAAAAAACAAAUGACAAAGAUCAUUGUUGAAUGAAGUGCAAGUACUUUUUUAAAGUUUUAAAUAGACAAUUAGUAUGGUUUUUGAGCGAUUUAAAAAAGAUAUUUCAAUUUGUUUCCAGUACAUUAAUAAGCACUUUAUCACAAAAUCAGUGGCAGAUCCAGAAAUUUUCAUAAGUUGGGGUCCACUGACUGCCUAUGAGGGGGUCCGGCCCACUCCAGUCAUACUUCAGUGAUUCCCUAUAUAAUCAACCAAUUUUUUUUCCAGAAAAGGGGAGGCCUGGGCCUCCUGGCCCCCUUUUAAAUCCGCCUCUGACAAUACCA